AUUGAACGCUGGCGGAAUGCUUUACACAUGCAAGUCGAGCGGCAGCGCGGGGGCAACCCUGGCGGCGAGCGGCGAACGGGUGAGUAACAUAUCGGAACGUACCCAGUCGUGGGGGAUAACUAUCCGAAAGGAUAGCUAAUACCGCAUACGUCCUGAGGGAGAAAGCGGGGGAUCGCAAGACCUCGCGCGAUUGGAGCGGCCGAUAUCGGAUUAGCUAGUUGGUGGGGUAAAAGGCUCACCAAGGCGACGAUCCGUAGCGGGUCUGAGAGGACGACCCGCCACACUGGAACUGAGGCACGGUCCAGACUCCUACGGGAGGCAGCAGUGGGGAAUAUUGGACAAUGGGCGAAAGCCUGAUCCAGCAAUGCCGCGUGAGUGAUGAAGGCCUUAGGGUUGUAAAGCUCUUUUACCAGGGAUGAUAAUGACAGUACCUGGAGAAUAAGCUCCGGCUAACUCCGUG
rnacentral:rRNA from 1 species